UAUGACGUUUUACAGAUGAGCACCGCUGAACUCGUUUCAGCAAAUCAAACUUUAAAUUGUAUAGUUUGAUCAUGGCUCAGAUGGAACGCUGGCGGCAGACCUAACACAUGCAAGUCGGACGGUAGCACAGAGGAACUUGCUCCUUGGGUGACGAGUGGCGGACGGGUGAGUAAUGUCUGGGGAUCUGCCCGAUAGAGGGGGAUAACCACUGGAAACGGUGGCUAAUACCGCAUAACGUCGCAAGACCAAAGAGGGGGACCUUCGGGCCUCUCACUAUCGGAUGAACCCAGAUGGGAUUAGCUAGUAGGCGGGGUAAUGGCCCACCUAGGCGACGAUCCCUAGCUGGUCUGAGAGGAUGACCAGCCACACUGGAACUGAGACACGGUCCAGACUCCUACGGGAGGCAGCAGUGGGGAAUAUUGCACAAAUGGGCGCAAGCCUGAUGCAGCCAUGCCGCGUGUAUGAAGAAGGCCUUCGGGUUGUAAAGUACUUUUCAGCGGGGAGGAAGGCGGUGAGGUUAAUAACCUCACCGAUUGACGUUACCCGCAGAAGAAGCACCGGCUAACUCCGUGCCAGCAGCCGCUGUAAUACGGAGGGUGCAAGCGUUAAUCGGAAUUACUGGGCGUAAAGCGCACGCAGGCGGUCUGUUAAGUCAGAUGUGAAAUCCCCGGGCUUAACCUGGGAACUGCAUUUGAAACUGGCAGGCUUGAGUCUCGUAGAGGGGGGUAGAAUUCCAGGUGUAGCGGUGAAAUGCGUAGAGAUCUGGAGGAAUACCGGUGGCGAAGGCGGCCCCCUGGACGAAGACUGACGCUCAGGUGCGAAAGCGUGGGGAGCAAACAGGAUUAGAUACCCUGGUAGUCCACGCCGUAAACGAUGUCGACUUGGAGGUUGUUCCCUUGAGGAGUGGCUUCCGGAGCUAACGCGUUAAGUCGAC
rnacentral:rRNA from 1 species